rnacentral:rRNA from 1 species
GAUGAACGCUAGCUACAGGCUUAACACAUGCAAGUCGAGGGACCGGCGCACGGGUGAGUAACACGUAUCCAACCUGCCCUUUACUCGGGGAUAGCCUUUCGAAAGAAAGAUUAAUACCCGAUAUAAAGGAUGGGGAUGCGUUCCAUUAGGUUGUGGGUGAGGUAACGGCUCACCAAGCCUUCGAUGGAUAGGGGUUCUGAUAGGAAGGUCCACUGCAUUGGAACUGAGGCACGGUCCAAACUCCUACGCGAGGCAGCAGUGGUGUAGAUUAGGCAAUUGGCGCUAGCCUUAACCAGCCACUUAGCGUGAAGGGUGAAGGCUUUUGUAUCGUAUACUUCUUUUAUGUAAGAGUAUGUAUUAUAUGAAUAAGGAUCGGCUAACUCCGUACCAGCAGCCGCGGUAAUUC